rnacentral:rRNA from 1 species
UACGUAGGGGGCAAGCGUUGUCCGGAAUCAUUGGGCGUAAAGCGCGUGUAGGCGGGUCUUUAAGUCAGGGGUGAAAUGCCAAGGCUCAACCUUGGAACUGCCUUUGAUACUGGAGAUCUUGAGUCCGGGAGAGGUGAGUGGAAUUGCGAGUGUAGAGGUGAAAUUCGUAGAUAUUCGCAAGAACACCAGUGGCGAAGGCGGCUCACUGGCCCGGAACUGACGCUGAGACGCGAAAGCGUGGGGAGCAAACAGG